GACGAACCGUGCGAACGUUGUUCGGAAUCCCUGGGCUUAAAGGGCGCGUAGGCGGCCCGCCGCGUCCGGGGUGAAAUCCUCCCGCUCAACGGGAGAACGGCCUCGGAUACGGGCGGGCUGGAGGGGGGUAGGGGCAGGCGGAACUGUGGGUGGAGCGGUGAAAUGCGUAGAUAUCGGGAAGAACACCAGUGGCGAAAGCGCGCUACGGGGCCAUAACUGACACUGAGGGACGAAAGCUAGGGGAGCGAAAGGG
rnacentral:rRNA from 1 species